CUCGCCGCGCACUCCUAGUAACUUCUGUUCGGGGAAGCGCUCCCAGGAAUAACCCGGUGCGUCCACAACCCGGGAGGAGGGAGGCGGCCGCUGCGGCUCCCGCACGCAGACAGCUGCGGUCCGGGCCCCGCGGCUCCCGCUGCCCCUACCCGGGGGCCAUCUCCGUACAGUGUCAGAAAAAUAAAUAAAGGCGAGAGGAGCCCGGGGCUGGCGGUCGGGAUCUCUCCCCUCCCUCCGCGCCUGCCCUCUCUCUGUCCUUAAGGAAAUGCUACCAGACCCCCCGCCAGACACGCUCAGCCCGGGCGAGGAGCGGCCGCCGCGGCAGCGAGACCAAGGGUACCAGGGAGGUUUCCUCCCUUCCUCCUCUCCCUCCUCCUCCUUCGCAGCGGUGACUUCCAGAAACUCCAGCCAACAGUGAUCUACGUGCCUGUCUUGAUUUUGGCAGUGGGCUAGGAACUGGAUAUAAGGAAAGGUGACUCUUCUUCCAUUUGCAUUUUUAAUCUAGUAUUGGUAAUAACACGCAAGUAUAAUGAACUCAUCAUACUAGAAGACAGAAUGUGCAAAAAAUCCCCAUAAAGUAAAUACAGUGAAAAUCUAGAGGAAAUUAUUAAGAUCAGUUGCAGGGACAAGGAAAGAUUUUAUGGAAGAUGUGGGCCUUGAGGAAUGGUUAGUAUCUCUGAAAGCACAGGUGGGUUUGGGUGAUGGCAUUCUUCGUGGAGAAAGUGUUACAAAUGAAAGUAGGGUCACUUCACAUGGCUGGUUGGUUCCUGCUAAACUGUGGAGAGGACCUUCACAUAUCUGUGGUAUGCAGCACGGUAACAGUGAUGAAGGCCAAAGGGUGGAAGUGUGUUGGGUCUGAUCAGGGAAUCCUACUCAGCCUAGCCUGGACUGCUAACUCCAUUGUGCUGGAUCUUGGAUGAAAAGAAUGCAGUUGCUCUGGCCCUUUCACUGGCUUGUUGAACUAAAAGGCCUUAUGCCCUGCCAAGUUUGAUUUUCUAUGAUUUUCCUAAUUCCAUUGGUAAGACGAGUUGAGCAAGAUAAUUUUGAGCAAAGGAGUGACUUGACAUUUCAGAAGAUAAAUGAUUAGCUAGCAAUAGAGAGAGUGAAGUGAAUCGAGACGUUAUUAGAUUUCAGUUAUGUCCCGGAUGGUUCUGAAUCUUGAAGGUCAUCCAAGAGAAGUCAGAGUGGCACAUCAAACUAGAAGUCUUUGGGACAUCAGAAGGUUCACCCUAAACCAGUCCCGGUACACCAUCACUUGGAUACCAUAUUUACUGCUUCUGUAUCACAUUCUCAUUUCCCUGAUUUUUCAUUUGGCAUUUUUAUUAAUAAGCUUCCAACUUUUUUCACCAUUUCUGACUUUCCUUGUCUCUGUAUCCUGUGCUCUUUGGCUGCACUUUUGAAAUAGAUCUUUUUGGGUCCAUCCUUGCCCCAAGCUCUCUCCCCUGUGAACUAUCCAGGGGUCAGCUUGUUGAUCAUGGCUGUUUGAUUUUGGGUUCUGACUCCAACUCCACAAAUCAGGAGCCAAAGAAAGAGGGUUGUUAAUAGGCUGUUGGGGCAGGAGAGAGGUAAAGUAAUGAGGCUCAAAUUACAGGGGCAAACAUGGAAAUUAAUUAAUUAUUAAUUCAUUCAAGGUUUAGUGAGUACUACUGAGGAUACCAGCUCAGCAUGGUUUCUCUAUUCAGUCCUGCUUUUAUUGGUUUGAUCUUUCUCCUCUCAAAUUCUCCAAAAAGUUUAAAAUUUCUUCACAACAGCUGAUUCUCUCCAGGGGUAACAGCAAGACCUCUGGUGAUGUUAGGAGGCGACAACCCUGGCACAGCAGCAGUUGCUUUUAUUUUUGGUUUUUGUCAGGUGUUUGUAAGUUGAGAACUGCCUGUAUUCAAACAACAUGAUUUGGUAGUGUGUACUGAGCUCCCAUAGUAAUAAUGGAGGCAGUACAAUGAAAAGGAGGAAAAAUGAAGACUCUUUAGCCUCAUGUUCUACAGGAAGCUUUAAAAAACCCUUGUCAUGGAAUAAUGGCUCAGAGAAUGUGGUUGUGGUAUGGAUUAUUCAUGUAACAUUUGAGGCUUGCUUUGGUGUUGGAGGUUUGGCCAUUGAUGAAUUGUCCCGUGCUUUGUGGUAGGUAUAGAUAGAUGCAUGUAGAAGAUUUUAUUUUGGGGCUGACCAGAUUACUGUGACUCAUUUGUUCGUACAAGUUUUUAACUUAUCACCCGAGCAGUUUUGUAUCACAGAUAGAGAAAAAACAUAAGUAUGCCCUCACCUUCUACAAUGUAUCAGUCUGUUUUAAAUUUUUUCCUUGUGUACUCUGGUCUUUGCUCAGAUACAAGUAUUUGAAAUAGUUUAAUGAUUUUGAUAUAAUUUUAACAAGUUUAAUGAUUUUUAUAUAAUUCUUAUUUUCGAAGUCUUCCUGUUGUAAACAUUUCCACUUUUCCAAUUUUCAUAUUUUAAUUUUAAUGACUGGA
ensembl:lncRNA